rnacentral:rRNA from 1 species
UACGGGGGGAGCAAGCGUUGUUCGGAUUUACUGGGCGUAAAGGGCGCGUAGGCGGUCGUGACAAGUCACUUGUGAAAUCUCCGGGCUUAACUCGGAACGGUCAAGUGAUACUGUCGGACUAGAGUACAGAAGGGGCAACUGGAAUUCCCGGUGUAGUGGUGGAAUGCGUAGAUAUCGAGAGGAACACCUGCGGCGAAGGCGGGUUGCUGGGCUGAUACUGACGCUGAGGCGCGAAAGCUAGGGGAGCGAACGGG